rnacentral:rRNA from 1 species
GGGGGGCUGCUCCUAGUACGAGAGGACCGGAGUGGACGCAUCACUGGUGUUCGGGUUGUCAUGCCAAUGGCACUGCCCGGUAGCUAAAUGCGGAAGAGAUAAGUGCUGAAAGCAUCUAAGCACGAAACUUGCCCCGAGAUGAGUUCUCCCUGAGACUUAGAGUCUCCUGAAGGAACGUUGAAGACGACGACGUUGAUAGGCCGGGUGUGUAAGCGCAGCGAUGCGUUGAGCUAACCGGUACUAAUGAACCGUGAGGCUUAACCUUACAACGCCGAAGCUGUU